rnacentral:rRNA from 1 species
AGCGAACGCUGGCGGCAGGCCUAACACAUGCAAGUCGAACGAACCCUUCGGGGUUAGUGGCGGACGGGUGAGUAACACGUGGGAACGUGCCUUUAGGUUCGGAAUAACUCAGGGAAACUUGUGCUAAUACCGAAUGUGCCCUUCGGGGGAAAGAUUUAUCGCCUUUAGAGCGGCCCGCGUCUGAUUAGCUAGUUGGUGAGGUAAAGGCUCACCAAGGCUACGAUCAGUAGCGGGUCUGAGAGGAUGAACAGCCACAUUGGAACUGAGACACGGCCCAAACUCCUACGGGAGGCAGCAGUGGGGAAUCUUGCGCAAUGGGCGAAAGCCUGACGCAGCCAUGCCGCGUGGAUGAUGAAGGUCUUAGGAUUGUAAAAUCCUUUCACCGGUGAAGAUAAUGACUGUAGCCGGAGAAGAAGCCCCGGCUAACUUCGUGCCAGCCGCCGCUGUAAAAC